UGCACACUCUAUCUUCUGUCUUCUCUAGUAGAUACCAGAGUGCUCUCUCUCUUUUAAUUUAAUUUAAUUUUAUUUCAUUAAAAAAAAUUUUUUUUACUGCUUAUUUAUUUUUAAGAGAGACAGAGACAGAAUGCAAGUGGGUUAGAGGCAGAGAGAGAGGGAGGCACAGAAUCCGAAGCAGGCUCCGGGCUCCGAGCUGUCAGUACAGAGCCCGAUGUGGGGCUCAAACUCAUGAGCUCUGAGAUCAUGACCUGAGCUGAAGUCAGACGCUCAACUGACUGAGCCACCCAAGCACCCCCAGAGUGCUCUCCUAUUGGUGGGUCUUGCCCCUCAGGAAAUCCCCUUGCUUUGCAUAUGGCUAUUUUCUUCCCGUUCCACCUCCACUAUCCUCACCUUUUUUGAAGAACAGAUUCUCCUCUAAUCUAUGGAGAGCCAAUCAGAGCAUGGCCCUGUCUUCAACGCACUCACCCUCAACCACCUAAAAGAUGUGUAUUUAGCCUGGAUGGGGCCAAUCAGAGUCCAUGUGAAGAACUUUUCAAACUGAUUGAUGGAAGACAUUGGAGACCUCUUUACUUGAACUCCCUGCAGACUGAGAAGAAGACACUCAGUUGAUUUGAAGGAAUUCAAAUUGUUUAAGCGAAGGAUUUUUGAAGACUGUGGAUCAUCUUGGAUUUUAUGUAUCCCACUGGGUCUAUCUGAAACUGUGACGUAGCCACAAACAACUACCAGGAAAUGAAACAAAAAUUAAGAUGCAACUGUGUGACAGUGGACAAAAAUAAAACAAAAACAAUAGUAAAGUUAAAAAAAUAAAGCAUUACUAUAGUAUAUAUUGUUAGUAUAGUACAACAGCAGUUGCUUAAUUCAGAAGCCACUUAAAUAGGACACAUGCAACAUUCAGUUACAAAGUGCAAGACUGAGUAGAGGUUUUCCAACUUGUGAUAUAAAUCACUUAAAAAUCUUUUCAACAAUCUAAUUAAAGGAAUUGAGUCAAAUACAUUAAAAAAUCACUGGCUUCGUCUACAAGUAUUAGAAAGCUCUUAAUUAUAAGACAACUAACUGUACUACAAUAAAACUUACACAUUUGGUCUUUGUCUCUAGUAACUGGUAUAGUGCUCCUAAAACGUUUGGAAUUUCCAGAGAGGGCGUCUUUUGUUAUCCAUAGUACAUCUACUGGAGAACAUCUGAGUUUAUGGUAAUGAGGUGACUUAGGGCUGAACUUGCUUAGAAGGUUGGAGCUUUCAACCUACCUCAGACCUCCCUGAACAACAGAAGGAUGUGGACUGAAGACUCAGCAAAAUCACCAAUAACUGAUGAUUUAAUCAAUCAUGCCUAUGUAACUAACCCUCAGUUAAAACUAUGAAGUAACAAGGCCAACGGAGCAUACAGAGAGAGCAGGGGAGAGUGGCAGAGGGGAAGAGAGAGAGAAUCUUAAGCAGGAUCCAUGCUCAGUGCAGAGCCCGACGCAGAGCUGAUCCCACAACCCUGGGAUCCUGAGGGCAAGCUGACAACUGCAGGCACAGUUGUCGCCCAAACAAGGCCAGAGUAUGAUGCGCCAUCCCGGGGACGAGACCCUUUGGACAAACGGCUCACAGGGAGGGAUACAGCCCCGACCUCCAGGUAAGGGGGUGAGGCGUGUCCCGCAAGGGUUUCCUGAUACCGGUUUAUUCCCCCGCCCCCCUCCCCCGACGUCUCAGAAAACCAAACCCAAACCAGGUUCUGGGACCCGUCUGUCCGCCGCAGGCAAAACUCCGAACGCUCUCACGUAAAGUCGGUGGCGGCCACGGCUGCGGUUGGCCGGUCUAGUCGUUCUCCGCUGUCUUACCAGCUUGGUGGCCCGAUAAGGUCCGGGAGGCACACUCCGACUCUCCAUUCCGCCCACCGGGCCCGGAGGUCCGUCAGCGCUCAGCGCGGUGCAUGGCGGCCUUAGGCGACUCUAGGGCUCUGGGGGCCCCGACGGCGGCUGGCUGGGAACAACCGUCCGCCGCGCCGCGGAUUUGAAUAGCGCAGAGGGCUGCGCUGAUUGGUCGCGGCCCUGAGUCACGUGGCGCGCCGCCGGGAUCCGGCUGCGGUUGGCUUGCACAGUGGAGCCUCUCAGGGCUGGGGCGCUGGCGGUGCAUGGCUGGCACCCUUUAGUCAGCGCGGGGGCCGGGCCCGUGGGACGGGCUCUGGGCUUCACCCGGCUGUCCUGGAGCUGCUUCUCCCUCUUGCGGUUGCAGGCGAGGCGGAGUCUUGUUUCCACACUAAGAACCGGUGCAGUGCUGUUUAUGGUGAAAUAAGCAACAAAGUGCUCUGGGAGCACACAGCAGAGACCCUCAGCCCACAUGGAGAAGAAUAUAUUGUUUAAUGAAGGCUUCCCAUAGGAGGUGAUGUUCAAGUGUGUCCUUAGGUGAGGGGACUCUCUUUCUUUGGGAUCGGUUCUCUGAGAAGGACUCAGCUGAGAACUGUCAGCUGCUUUGCUUCUAGUAGCAGGUGGAUUGAGUGCUUUCAUUAUGCACGUCAUUUGGGCUGCACACAGCAGUAUCCACCUUGGUGAUUUGGUGAGAACAGAGGUUCUUAAGCUGGAGGGUACAUUGGAAUUAUCUGGAGGGCUUUUUAUUUUUAUUCUUUAAAAUUUUAUUUAUUUAUUUAUUUAUUUAUUUAUUUAUUUAUUUAUUUAUUUAUUUAUUUAUUUAUUCUCAAGUUAGUAGAUCCCAGGGGUGCAUCACUUACGUGUGACACCCAGUGCUCAUUCCAAGUGCCGCCUGGAGGGCAUUUUAAAACAUAGAUUGGUAGGCCCCAUCCUCAGGUUUUCUGAUUUAGUAGAUUAGGAGAGGGGCCCCAAAUUUUCAUAUCUAACAAGUUCCAGUGACGCUGAUGAUGCUGGCUUAGGAUCCACACUUUAAGAGCCACUGAUGUAGAGAAAGCUGUAUUUGAAAUCCACUUCAGGUUGUUCAUUGUGAGUAAGUAAAGUUUUGAUAAUAUUUACCGAAUAAGUAUCACCAAGUUCAAGAAUCCUCCUUACAACUGAGGGAGAAAAAACAUGAUUACAGUGCAAUGUGAUAAGUGCUGUAAGAAGUUAGUGCAAAGUGUUAGCAGGGUUUGAGAAGAAAAUGGCUAAUUUUUCCUUAGUGCAUCAUGAGAAUCUUGACAAAGUAAGUGAAAUUACCUUCUGGUUGUGAGUAAAUUAUUAUCUUUGCAUUUUAGUUUCCCUAUUAGUAAAAUGUAGAUAUUAAUAAUGAUAUCAGAUGAUGGUUGUUAGGGUUAAUUAAGAUAACACAUGGGAAAUUAUCUUACAAUUUGAAGUAAUAUUCAAAGUUCUAGCUUUUGUUCUUUGCUUGAUUAUCUUUCUAGAAUUCUUUGCUUGCUUAAGUAUUUAUGACUGCACUGUUGUAGUAAAAUAAAUGAUACUUUCAUAGGCUUUCAGAUUUUUUCUUUUGUUUUACUGGUAAUACACAAGGAAACAGGAUGGAAGCCGCUAUUCACAGUCUAACUUAAAUGAGAAGAAUUAAUUACAGUUUUCCUUUGUCAUAUAAACUUUGCCUUUAUUACAAGAAUUUGGAAAAGUUGAAAAUUAUUUAUUGAGAGAUAGGAACAUUAUCUAAACGAUACGAGAAUGGAUGUACAUUUGGUUAGAACUUCUAUUCUUGGAUUUAAAUUUCAUCUCUGGAAUUUUUUUUAUUUUUAAAAAAAUAAAUUUAAUCUCUUUUGCCACAUGAUGGUAGUAUUGCUUUUCUUGUUAAGCCACAAAAAUAGAUUUCAAAUGCCAGUUGAAAUCAUAAAAAAUUAUAUUUCUCCAAGGAGUCCUAACAAUAAAAAAUUAGUUUCAUAAAGAAAUAAGGACUCCUACACAUUUAUGUUAUUUUUAAAGAGCAGGAAACAUCAAUGUCAGUGUUUCCUAAGGAGAAUUGCCAUUUCUUCUUUAGGAAACAGAUCUUUGCAUGUCAGGAACGUUCUCAUCCUUUCUCUUCUUGCCAGAAUUUUGUUUUAGGCAUUGUCUUUCAAAUUGCUGCCCCUUUUAAUUGGGUUGACCAAGAUAAUUUAUUUCCUUGUAAGCUGAUGUAGAUAUUUAUCUUGAAGAAGAGAAAUUUUAAAUGGCACUUAUAUUGGUUGUAUUUUACAUAAUCUUUUAUAUCAGAUUUAGAAUUAGAAGCUAACUUAGAAGUUGUCUAGUGUGACCCUCGUUGCAUGCAAUAAUUUUUUCUGUAUCAUCCAGAACAGAUGGCCAUGCAGUUUCUCAGCUGCCUCUAAAGAUGCCCUUCAAGGCAGCCUCUAUUCUUUGUAGGACCCCUAGUAAAAGAACUUGCUUGUUGUUGUGCUCAACAUAAUGUGGUGUUGCUUGGAAGCUGUGAAGCUUCUGUUUGCUUGAAUUCAAAACCAUUUCUUUUGUCUGGAGGCAACCAUCUUGUUGAGAGAAUGAGUCAUCGGAUAAAAUUAUGAAAUGCAGUUUGCUGCAUACUGUCGUCAGUCACAAUCUGUCCCACAAAUCAAAAAAUAUUGAAGAAAUAUAACAAGCUACAUUUCAUACUCUGAGAGAUCUGGGUUUAAUAUGUCAGAAAUUUAUUUUCUUCAUGACCAUCAUGGAUUUACUGAAGUAUUGAAACAACUAGGACUUUUGGUUGUCCUUUUCCCAGAAGGGCAGUAUACAUUAACAUUAAAUUUUACAAUAAGGAGGUGUAGUAGAGGAAAAUAAAUUUCUUUGUCACCUUGUUAAUUGGGGGGCAUGGUGUGUUGAGAAGGCACACAUGUCUCAGCAGGGCCUUGGUUAUUUUCUCAGAGGAUGCGUUUUCUAUCACCUACUUGUUCACUGCUCUAUAACCUGUUGAAGGUAAGAUGGUAGGAGAGAGGUUUGUGCAAAGAUUUAGACUGAGUAAACUGAACUUACAGGAGUCUGAAUGGCAAUGGGGUCACCAUGGGUCCAGAAUGCAUUUCUCAGCUUUGUAGAUUUAGAAAUGUCCUCUUAAUGGUUCAGCAAGGGGCUGAUUAUGCUCUGGGGGAACCCACCACAUUAACUGAUAGCAGAAGAGAAUGUGAUAUAAACCUGAAUGCUUCUUUAUUACAUUUCUCAUGAGAAGUUCACCUGGAAGAUAAUUCACAGUGGUCAUUGUCCAUGCCAUAGCAUUUUGGUGGAUAUUACAGUAUCAGCUCCCUGAGGGACACUAUGCCAAGGUAUAGAGAUGAAUCAGACCUUAUACGACAUGCUACUUCUGCAGAUGGCUAAUUACUUCCAUUUUGUAUUCAUUUUGUUGGUUAUAAUUUCAGAGGGUGAUAUUUCUGACUCUGACCUCCUGAAGCUACUUAUGCAUGACAACUGCAUAGAUUGUUAUGAUUGUAAAUUUUAUGAUGUCCAAAUCUAAAAAUUAAAUAUGAAUCGUGUUUUUCAAGUGCAUGCCAUUAAUAAUGAUUUUCUGUUAUUACAUAGCAUUUUGACUAGAAAGAUAAGGAAAAAAAAUUGAAUUUCCUCAUAUUUUGGUUAGACAUGGCAGACAUUGAUUAAAUAAGAUAUAAACAGUGAAAAAAAUGGAGUACUAAUGUGAGCACACAGAAUUAGAUAACAAUUUAGUCUUUAAGAGGAAAGGUCAAAUAUUCAUAUAAUGUCCAUCUUCUUUAAAAUAUCAAUGUUGCCUUUUUUUUACUUGAUGAAGGGCAUCUAUCUGUAUCUAUAUAUCUAUCUCUCUGUAUAUAUUUGUUCACUCAGAAAAAUUCAUUAAUGCUUAACAAAUACCAAGGACUGUGUUAGGCAUGGAAGAGACAAAAAUAAAUAAGAUAUUUAUAACAUAGUGGGAAAGACUAACAAGUAAACAGGCAAUUCUAAUUAAGUAGGAUGUAAAGAAACACACAGUGCUACUGGUACUCGUGAGAGUGUUCUUAACCAGCUAUUACAUUCAUCAUUAAUUCAGGGAAAGCACAUUUCAGUAAAUAUGUUUUCAUACUUUUCCAUAGUCUUCCUUUUGUUCUAUAAGACUAAGAUAAGAUAGAUGAUUAUCCAUAAAGAUGAGAUGCACUUAUUGUGUGUGUUAACAUAUUGGUAUAAUUAAGGUCUUGAUUAUGGAAGUAAUGGUCCCCAGAGAGUGGGGUGUGUGUGUGUGUGUGUGUGUGUGUGUGUGUGUGUGUGUGUACACCUAUUUUUUUAUAUUUUUACUAUUGGGAAUUGGUGUUGUAAUAAUAUUCUCCCAAAUUUUCAGUAUUUCCCCCAAACCAUUCCACAUUAAACAUACAGCCUAUAUAAAAACUGGAUGCUUAGAAUGCAGGCACAGCUUCAGGCAAGUUUGUUAGAACCUGAUUUUUGCUUACCACACGCACAUAGGAACUCAUCCAACCAGAGUGCUGCCUCAAAGCCCUUCCUAUUAAGAAAUUCAGAAUCUACUACUGUAUGGAAGUGUUUGUAUGAUAUAAAGUAAGAGUCACUGUAGCAAAAGCAGAAUAUAUGCUAUGUCUAUGUGAUAUAUAAAGUUAUUGUCCAAGAUAUUAGAGUCACAAUUAUUACAUGCCUUAUUUAGACAGCAGUAUUUUAAUAUCCUUAAUAUGGACUAACAGAACAUACUCUAUUGCACUUUCUAGAACUUCAGAGAACAAAACCUUGGGCCAGUAUGGAUCCUUCUUUAUUAAGCUGCAGAGAAUCUGUGCUCUCAAUCUGCAUCAUAGGGUAUAGUUAUAUGAACUACUCAGUUCCUAUCAAUCACUUAACUAGUAUAAAUGGUAGUCAAUAAAAUUUCAUCCAUUCAUUAACCUACCCAAAUGGCAUUUGUUGAGCUUCUAUUAUGUUCUAGGUGCUGUUGCAGAUAUUGGGUUUUCAUGAAUGAAUAACAUGUAAUACUUAUCUCCAGGGAGUUCUCAUUUUAUCAUGGGAAGUAGAUUUACUACUGAUCUAUCAUGUGAUAAGUAUUAUAAUUAUUUCUUGAACACAGUGACACAAUGACUAAGAGAGGCAGGAGAAAUAUUGUCUAUUACAGGUGGAGAAAGACUACAGAUCAGAGGCCACAUUUGUAUUGUUUCUUGAAGAAUGAAUAAGAAUUUUCUAGGUGGUUAGAAUGAAGACAUUGAGAAAAUAUUAUGAGGUAAAUUACAUAUGAUUCAUCUAUUGUUUAAGUUCUAUCUUUUAGAAAUUCAGAUGACUAGAAAUUUCUAUGCUUGGACUGUACCACCUUAGUUUUCUGCAGAAAUACCUCCACUGGAUUGGUUUAAUAUGGUGGUUACAGAUUUCCCCAAGAAAUUGCUAUAUAAAGAAUAUGGCUGCACUACUUGUAAGAUGUUUUUGAUUGGUAGCACAUACUGACUUUUCAAUGUGAGCAGUGUUUAGCAAACAUUUUCUUCACCCUCUCCAUAAGUAAUUAUCUUUUCUUGGUGUUAAAUUGUUCUAACCCUUUAUCAUCUUUCUUAAUUAAGAUACAUGUACUUCCUCUUUAAUCUCCCUUUUUCACAGAUAAAAGAGAUCCUAUCACAUGUGGAAACUCUCAAAAUCCCUCUCCUUGAACUACUAAGUUUUCUUUAUCUUCAUUUAUCCUUCCCACUUUUCAAAGACUAACUUUUCCAAAAGAGCCUUCUAACCACUUAUUUUCCAACUCAUUUUUGGUAUUUCAUGUGAUCAAAUAUUGCCUCUCUCCUAAAAUCUCUAUCUUUCUAACCAGUGCCAUUUAGCCUAUGAAGAUGCUUAAGUCUUUUCAUUGGCAAACAAGAGGAAAAGAAUUUCAACUUUGGCUUUUCCUGUUUACCUUUCUUCAUUUUAGAUAAUGCAUAAGAAGCAAAAAAACUCCUGAGUAGUAGGUCCCAUGGCCAAGUCAUACUUCAGUUAAGUGGUGGGGAAUGCUGAAUACUUCCACAGCUCUGAAUAUGAAUUCUGAGCUAUCUUUAUACAUUUUCAUUCUCACUUGAGACUGAAGGUUCUGGGUGGAAUAUCUAAUCGCCCGAACUGGACCACUUAUUUCAAUAAACCCUGGUUGCUCUUCUUUGGUGAAAACAUGACCCUUUGCCCUUCAUAUAAAGCAGGAUUUCCCCUAAAACAAAACAAAAACAAACAAACAAAAAAACCAAGUGCUUUAGAUGUUGAGCAGAAAAAUAAAAAUGUCCUGUCCCUUCACCCGUCAUGAUCACUCUGUCGCCCUUGUACCAUUAUCCACUCCCUUCUUGACACUUUUUCUUCACUUGACUUUUACAUACCUCUCCUGUUUUUCUAAUCUUGGAGUCUUCCUGUUACCAAUAGAUUAGGUAAAAUAGUUAACAUGGCAUUCAUUGUUCUUUAUAAUGAUAUCCUUUGGAUUUUGAGUAUUACAUUCCCCUUUCCCUUCCAGCUCCUUAUACUGCCAUCCGAUAACUUUGGUUUUUGAUACAACUAAUUACUUGUAAUUCCUUUGGUAUACCUUUACUUAGAGACAUCCAGAAAAACAUUUUUUCCUUUUCGUAUUCUUCAAGGUUCAUAUCAAUUGUGUGAAACCCUCCAGGAUUUUCUCUGAGCAGAAUUAAUCUCCCUUCUCUGCCUUUCCUUGGUACUUUAUCUAGUUAGUUUAUGACUCUCUGACAAAUAGAUUCUUCAAAGGAAGACCAUAUCAUAUUGACAUGUAGCACAAUGUUAAUUAAAUGAAUCUUUUAAAAAGUUUAUUUAUUUUUGAAAGAGAGAGAGAGAGAGAGAGAGAGAGAAGGAGCGAGAGGAUGGGGGAGGGGCAGAAAGAGAGGGAGACACAGAAUCCGAAUCAGGUUCCAGGCUCUAGGCACAAAGCCCAGUGCAGGUCUUGAACCCACAAACUGCGAGAUCAUGACCUGAGCUGGAGUCAGAUGCUUAGCUGAUUGAGCCACCCAGUUGUCCUAGUUAAAUGAUUUUUGAAUCUUAAAUUCUUUCUGUACAUAUCCUGGGUAUAAAUUGUGUGGUAAUAAAAACAAGAUUGCAGUAACUGUUACUCCUUAUCAUCCAGGUUUUCAAUUAUUUAAAGUACCAUUGUUUUUAUUUACCAUGCAUAAUUAAAACAUUCCUAAAGUAUCUUUCUCUCAAAGAUCUGGACACACUUCAACAAACAAAGUUGGAGUCUUCUAUUAUGCUGAGGAGAGCACUAUGGUAAAAUAGGGAGAAGAGCAUCUUUCUGUUGUGCUCCUAUUAUUUUCCAGGACAGAAUAAUCCUUUGGCUGCCAAUAGCCUAAUGUGAUUGCUGGCUUAAAGUUUGGUAGUGUCUUUUCAAAACCGGUAUAGCAAAAUCCUGGAUGGGCAGCGCUCCAGGAGCUACUAUAAAAGCCCCUAAAUUGCCACUCAUACAUAACUUUCAAUGUUGUGCAGACAUGUGCUGGCUAUGGUUUGCCUCUUUGUAGACUGUGUAGUAAUUUGGAGAUGAACAGAAUGUCUUUCUAUUAUUCUGGAAUACUCUACCACUUACACAAUUUCCACAUCUUGAAUAGGCAGGAUUAGACCAGCAAUAGCAUGAACAUUCAUGUUAAGUAGGUGAAUGCCAUGCUAUACUUAAUCAGGUUCUCUAUCAAAUAUGUCCUGAGCCCAGAGGAGAUAUUUUCUGAUGUUUGUUAAUCAUUUUUAGGCAACAAAUUGCCGAGUAGUUUUGAGUGAUAUACUGUACCAUAUACAGUAUAUAAUGUUUACUGUUGGAUAAGGAAAUAUCUAUGAACAGGGAGAUUAGUGUACUAUCCACAAAAUAAACUAUAUGAAAACAACCUGUAAACCAGUAGUAAAUGAACUUUAAAUAAAUCUUUGUCAUUAACUUCAGGCUGUAAGGUAAUGAUACAGGCAUAAUUAAAUCUUUGGAUAAUGUAGAUAUCUGAAAAGUCACUCAUAAAACACAUUUCUAUGUGAUUCAUAUGCUUGUACAGUGUUCCAGUUUUAGAAAUAUAGACCUGAAGGGCAUAUAAACUCUGCAGGAAGAAAGGGAAAGAGAUGAUAAGAAAAAAAGAGAGAUCAGAGAGAUCUAGCAAAACAAAAACACAAACAAAAAUUUUAAGGGUGACAGACUCCAACCAGCAAACCUGAAGGUGGACAUAAACUUUAUUUGCUCAAUUUGGCAAUGGUGGAAGAAAGCACAAAAUGGCAGUGGGAGAAUGGCUGUCCAAUGGCAGCUGGCAGAGUUCUGGUUUUAACUCUUGGCAUUAUAAUUCUCCGCUGUUUGAAUUCUGCAAGUUCAAAUUUUUCGGGAAAAUAUAUUCCCUUUUAUGAUUCUUUGAAAAUCUUUUACCCUCAUGAAGAAAUAUAUACAAUAGCUUUAAUCAUUUGUGUUUCAUAGAUUGCCAGUGGUUUCUAACAAGCCAUGUAAACCCAAAACAAUAAGGUCACAACCAGGAAAACCUCUAAUGAUAAUGAUCAGAAACACAUGCUGUCCACUGAUUGAGUUAAACUUUUAGGAUACUACUUUGUAAAACUGAAGUUACUCUUGUUUCUAUAGUAAGUUUUUUAAAAUAGUUUGUCAGAAAAAACUGUGAAAGACUGAAAUGGGCAAAAACCAAAAUUAUUGGAUCUUUUGUCUAGUGUUUUCUUCUAGGUUAUUUCUGUCUUUCAUGGUCUUUGGGCUAUUUUAUGACUUUAUAAAGUUGUACAAUUAAAAUAGUAAUGCAAAUGAUUCUUGUCCAUAGAAGUGCAGAUUAUGUCCCCUGGAAAGGUGGUUGAUUAUUGCUCUGUAGGUAUUAACCAGUUUUGCAUCUAUGAAGCAAAUUCAUUUCAGCAUUCCUUAUGGUUUAUAUCUAAAUGUGGUUCUUUCAAUUUCCCUUUUGUAUCAUUUGUAAUAUCUUAUUGGUUCCCUCAUUUAACUAGUUAAAAUCUUUGCCACAUGUGUUCUUUUUAUAUUUGUAUGUAUUUAUCUUCUUAAAAAUUAUCUUUAACUGGUUAUACUUAUGAUAUUCCUAAAAAUAGUUUAAUAUUGAGUGGUAAUGUGGUUCUCUUCCUCUGUCUCAUUCCUUCUCCCAUAUCCUCUCUCUGUUUCUUCUUUCUUUCCUUUAGUAAGUAUUUAUUGGGUGCAUACUCUGUGCCAGGAAUCUUAAGAAGCACUGGGUAUGAAGAAUCCAACCCCAAUUUGCCUGUAACUUUUACUUUUUAUUAUGAUCUAAAAUGUGGGACAAAUAAGACCAUAUGAGAUAAUAAAAGAAUAAGACCUAUGGGUUUAAAAUAGACUUUGAUUUAAAUUUGGGUUCUACCUCCUUCCUACUCUGAUUUUUGACAAAUCACUCACCUUUUCUGAACUUCACUUCCUUCAUUUUAAAAACUGGUUACACUAAUACUAACCAGGCAGGGUUGUUGUUGGAUAAAGUAAGAUUAUAUAUGUAACUGCUAAGUAUUUAGAUGGUACCUCAUUCUUGGUAGGUACUCAGUGAAUGUUAAUUCCCAUUAACCUUUCAACCUUCAGUGUUAAUUCCCUCAACCUUCUUUUUCAAUCCUCUUUUUGCCUAGUGCUCCCAACAAGUUAUUAUUGCUAUUCUUAUUUUAUUGAUACUGGAAUCACAGGUCAAGCUUAAUAAAUAAGAAUCUAGAAUACUCAAAGUCUUGAUUCAGUACCCAGAUCAAUGGGUCACAUAAACUUGAAACAAAGAAUAAGUUCACGGCCAGGAAAACCUCUAAAAUGUUAAGAGCCAUGCUUAUGACUAAGGGACUAAUAGUGUUAAAUAUGAUUGUAAGAAUGACCCUAUUGUAGGAAGCAUAAUAUUGGUCCACCUGGACAAUUACAGAUCAAAAUUGUGAAAGCUAGAAUUGCCCUGUCCAAUCCCUACAAGCUAAUGCUCGCCAUCUUGUCUCUUUGUGCCCACAGUAUUUCUUUACCCAGUUAAUACUCAAUCGUUGCUCUAUUAUUUUUCCCUCCAACUCUGCUUGUCAGUUUUCCCUUAGCAGCCAUACAUGUUUGCACCCUUCUCUUAUAAUCUUUUACUGGGUAGUUUAAAAUUUUAAGUUAUUUAUAAUCCAAUGAAUAUUUAAUGGAAUAUUUAUUAUGCACCUUCCAGUUGCCAUUUUUCUAUUACUGCAGUGACACUGAAGGAUGGUAAAGAUGCAAAUGCCUAUUUCUUGUGAGUUUAAUCUAAGCUCCUUCUGUCCUGAUAUAUCUUAUCAUUUUGUUUGGUAAUUAGACUAUUCUGAUGAUGCUGUAAAAUACAUCCCAGUUGUAAAGGGAAAAGUCAUUAUUUAUCAUUAGAGGGUAGGGAAUAUGCUCAUUUUUCACUGCCCUUACCUGGGCAGCAAGGACAGAGUGAUGCAAUUUCAACUUGGAGGCCUGUGCUUGAUGUGAUUCUGGGAUGGAACAAAUAGCCAUGAAAUUAAUCUGAGAAUGCGCAGUCAUUCUCUUGCCAGGGCUUGGCUGGCAUCAUCUUUGUAUAUGAAGUAUAGCUUUCCAGGCUCUCAGCUUCCUCUGAGCAUGAGCAAAGCAGAAGAAGAUUUGUUCCUGUUACAUAUUGUCCUAUAAAGGCUGAGGACUGGGACCAAAAGGAAACAAAUUAAUGAGGGGGGGGAUGUCUUUUGAAGCCAAGGGGCUAUAAAUAGUACACUUCUGGCAGUGUUGUAUUUAUGAAGCAAUGUUGUUACCUAAUGUGAAUUGGGAAAGAACUUGUGUAAGUCUAGUCCAGGGAAAAAGGAAAAAAAAACAGGCUUAACUCAGAGAUUUUAUAUUAUAAAAAAAAAAAUGAAAAAAACUAAGUGUGGAUGGAGGUCACUAGUUUUCAAGAAAGGACAGUCUCACUUUCUAUUCACUCAUUCAACUAAUACUUACUGAACUCCAACUAAAUACGGGACACUGUCUUGAGAAAUAAACAUUAUUCUGGAAUUUGGUAGAUUUAGAGAAAAACUUCAGUGCAUUCUAAGAGGGUUAACUCAUUGAUUAUAUAAUUUACAUAUACAUAAUUAACCCCUUUGAUUAUUUGUUGAAUUUUGUAUUUUCCUCUAAGUUUAAAAAUAUAUUUCCUUCUUCCUUAGGGAAGAUGAUUUAUUAAAUUAACAUGUAGUCAAUGUUUUCUUGCUACAGAAUUUACCUUUGUUUAUAACUUAUAUAAAUAACGUCCUUGAUAACAACAGAAGAAGCCUCAAAGAACAGACAGAUAUUUCAAUACAAGCUGUGAAGUGAUUAGUAUCUUUCUUAGAGAUGCCUAGGAAUCUUCUAGAAAGAUGUCCUUGCCUAUCCAUGGUUAAAUGAGGAGGGAUUGUGAUGAUCUGCUUCUGACAUAAACUAUGGAUUGCCAAAGAGAAGAUUAAGUCUGUAAUUAUUACUACUUUACUUGGUAUUGCAGUGGUUUAUUAUGCUUCUUGAUGUUAAGUAGAUCAUCAGUAUUUUAUGUCAGUUAAAUGGGUGAAUACAUGUCAAGCACCUGGGAAUAAGGUCUGUGACUUUGUAAACAUGCAUGACCUUGUCAUUACUGGAGUUUUGUAGACACCUAUAAUCUCAGUUUCAUGCAUCCUACUCUCUGCCCUCUUUUGGGGUCAUUCUAUCAAAUAUUUGAAUUUAACGAUCUUUCAGCCCAUUUGGAAGACAGUCCUUUGAUCUUAACAUUUUUUCACUGUCCCUUACUCCUUCAUGAUGUCACUUAUCUUUUUACCCAGUUAAUUGCUAUUUUCAUUCAUUAAUAGCCUUCCCUCUAAUAUAUAGUUGUCUUACUCUUUUCUCUGUCAUAUGUUUUUGUGAAACUCUUAAUACUGGUUAUAUCUGACAUAGGGUUGUUUGCUCCAAUGUAGAUGAACAGGGCAGGAAAAAAACAAGAGGGCAUGGGUGAUAGCUUUCAUUUGAAAUUUAUGAUACAAACCUCUAAUGCUCCCUGUCAAUCACUGUACUUUCUGAUGCAGUCACUUUCCCACUUCCUUAGUUAACUAUCUUCUAUCAUCUUUUUCCUCCAAUCUCUAAACCUUUUAACCAUCUUUAUUCUCAGUUGUUGACUUUCAGAAGAUGGUUUUCAAAAUUUCCCACAAUCAGAUUUAACCACUUGCCUGCUUAACCACCAUUUCUUUACCUUUACUUUGCCUGACCCUUGCCAUUAUAGAUUAACUGUCCCACUUAUAUCUAAGGAUGGCAUCUUUAUCUGUGAGCUAGAUUCCAUCAUUUCUUCGUACACAAGGACAUGUUCCCAACAAUUUUCUCCUCCUUCUCCCAUAUGAACAAUUUCCUCCUCUUUAUCUGAUCAUUCCUAUCAACAUAAACAUGUUGUUUUUGUCCCAUUUUAAUGAGAAACCUUUGACCUCACCUUUUCUUUCUUCUGUAGCAAAUCUCCCAGCAAGAGUUUAUUUUCCUUUUGUUGUUUAUUCUCAUUCUUAAAUUCAAGUCAGUUGGCUUUUGCCCCCAGUCACUCUACCAAAACUGUUCUUGCCAAGGUCCAAAUAACCUUCAAAUUAUUGACAAUCCUCAGUCUCUAUUUGACUUAAACCAUCAGCUGCUUUUGAUAGACUUGGAUCAUUUUUUCCCUUAAAUUGCUUUCUUUAUUUCUUGAUUACAAUACCACAUUUUCUUGGUUUUUCUAUUACCUCUUAUUUUUCUCCAAAAAUCUUAUCACCUUCCAAUAUACAGUUAUAUGUAAUUUAGUUAAUCAUGUUUUUCUAUAUCACCACUGAGCCUUAGAACAUGGACUUCAUGAAUGGGGUUUUAUUUCGGUCUGUGUUUUUAAUAUUAAAUCUUUAACACCUAUAAUGGUGUGCUUCACACCCAUAGAUGCUCAGUAAAUAUUAUGUAUACAAACAAUAGCAUUAGCGGUAUUAUUAUUUUUAUGUUAUCCAAAGAAGUACAAAUAAUACAUUUUUUAAUUUUUUUUAUUUUUUAAGGUUUGUUUGUUUAUUCUGAGAGAAGGAAGGGACAUAGAGAAAGUGAGAGAGAGAAUCCCAAGCAGACCUUGCACUACCAGGGCAGAGCCUGAUGCAGGGCUUGAUUCCAUGAAACGUGAGAUCAUGACUUGAGCCAAAAUCAAGAGUCAGAAGCUCAACUGACUGAGCUACCCAGGCACCCCAAGAAUAUUUUUGAUGAAUUAAUUAAGCAUAGUAUUUGAACUUUAAAUAUAUUUUCUCUGGUGAGCGAUAGAUAUUUCUAGGUUGUUUCAUAUGAGGAGUGAAAAUUAAUGUAUUGGCAUUUGAAAAUUCCCAAUAUUUCCAUUACUAAGAGUUUAUGAAAUUGGUGUACAUUGUGUUAAUAUAUCAUUCUAGAUAAAAGUUAAAUUGGAAGAAUAAACAUUGAAAGAACACUUUGUGCUCUUUUAUUUUAUUUUCCAUAAUAUUAUCAAAGUGAUGUUUCUAAAACAUAAAACUACCUCUAUCAUGUCCUUGAUGUAAAGCAUUUCUGUUACUCAUAAUUACCUAGAAUAGAAGAUAACAUUUUCAGGGUCUAAUGUUUACUUGUAUUUCCAGUUUUAUCAUUUCACCUUUGCUUCAAAUAUCAGUCUACUUGUAGUUUCUGGAAUAUUCCACAGUCUUUCAUUUAUGUUUUAAAAUUCUUUCUGGAAAUUCUAGCUUUCUUCUAUAACCAGCAUAUUAUAAGGCUCACCUCAAAGUUUACGCUUUCUCCUAGACACAGUUGUUGAUUUGCUCAGCAGUUAGUCCUUGGUUUUCAUAACACUUUAUAUCUCUGUUCGCACUUAUCACAUUAUAAUGUAUUAUUUUAUGUGUUUUUUCCCUAAGGGAUUGAGUUCGUUGAGAUCAGGGUUAAUCAGUAAUCCAUUUUUUCAUCUUUUAAAUUUUGAGAUAUAAUUAAGAGUUACAGAAGAGUUGCAGUUUUACCCAGGUUCUUCUUUAUACUAACAUCUUACAAAACCAUAAAAUAUAUGCUAAAACUAAGAAAUUAAUCUUGGUAAAAUGUUAUUAACUACAUAAUUUGAAUUUCAUCUAGUGUUUCACCAGUGUUCUUUUUUGUCUUCUAGGAUCCAAUCCAGUAUUUAGUUAUCAUGUUUCCUUAUUGUUUCAAUUGUGACAGUUCUUCAAUCUUUCCUUGUCUUUCAUGACUUUGGCACUUUUGAAGACUACUGGUCAGUUACUUUGCAGAAUGUCUCUCAAUUUGGGUUUGUCUGAUGAUUUCUCAUGAGUAGGUUGGGUUAUUGGGUUAUGCAUUAUUGGGAAGGAUGCCAUAGAGGUAAUGUGCCCCUCUCAGUGCAUUUUAAUGGCGGUUUCACAAUGUUAACAUGUAUUAGCAGUGGUAUUAACCUUGGUUAAGUGCCAUCUGCUGGGAUAUUCUAAACAUUACUAUAUUUCCCUUUGUAAUUUGUAAAUAUUGUGGGAGAGUUAUUUUGAAGCCAUGCAGAUACUCCAUUUCUCUUAAGUUUUGCUCACUAAUUACUGUCAGUGGAUCUUGCCUAAAAACAAAACACUGUGGUGUUCUAAUGGUGAUUUUCUAUUUCCUUCAUUCUUUCUACAUUAAAAAAAUGUCUAUUUAUUUAUUUGGGGAGAGAGAGAGAGAGAGAGAGAGAGAGAGAGAGAGAGAGAGAGAGAGAAUCCUAAACAGGCUCCAUACUGUCAGUGCAGAGCCUGUUACAGGGCUCGAACCACGAGAUCAUGACCUGAACUGAAACCAAGGUUCAGACGCUCAACUGACUGAGCCACACAGGUGCCCCUGUUCUUUGUAUAUUUCUUAACUGAAAUCAUUCUGUAAGAAGAAUUGUUCUUUAUCUGCCAUUUAUUUAUUCAGUUAUUUAGUUACAUCAGUAUGAACUGUUGGAUUUUUAAAAAAUCAUUGGGUUAUAAUCCAAUACACUGAAUAAUACAUUUUAUUGUUUAAAUUGUUCCUAAUUUGGUUUUUGAGAGCUCUUUCAGGUUGCCUCAUUUAUACUGGCUAAUUCAUGACACACAUUUACGUUUGUUUCUACAUUUGUACAUCUCUCUGAAUGUUUAUGCUUUUGUAAAACUGCAACUCCAUAUUGAUAGGUCUGAUUUCAGUCCUAUCCCACAGCUAAUUUUAGCCUUCUUUCACUCCUUAUUUUAAAUGUCUUUAGUUCAACAGUUAGAAACAUGCCUCUCAUUAUAUAUAUUUGCUUAUUUGUUCAACUCUUGUAUACAGAUAAAGUAUUUUGAGAAUUGGUAACACAUAACCUUAUAAACAAAUUUACUAUUCCAAAUGGUGUUUGAGAAUAGUUUCUUUUGCCUUUAGCUUUACAGUAUCCUGUAAAAAUAAUUUAGUUUAGCACCUGUUUUUUCCAGUUCUCUUUGAGGUUAUGAGAUUUGUCUGUAAUACAGUUAGAUUCAUUGCAGUCUGGGUUCCAUCUUUCCCUUGACAUCCUACUUUCAAAUAUUAUCCCUUUGAUGUAUUUCUUCCAUUCUUUGUGCUUUGUUGUCAUACAUUUUACUUCUACAUAUGCCAUAAACACAAAAUACGUUGCAGCUAUUUUUGCUUUAGACAAUCACAUUUUUUUGGAUAAUUAAAAGUAAGAAAAAUAUUUUGCUUCUAUUUUAUUACCAGUGUUCUAGUCUUCAUUUCUUUGUGUAAAUCCCAUAUUCAGUGUGACAUCAUAAUCAUUCUACCUGGAGAACUUAUACAUAAAAGUAGGUAGAAUGGCAUAAUGACUCCCCUGUAUUUACCAUGUAGCUUCCACAUGCCAGUCUUUUGCCAAUCUCUAACCUCUUUCCUUCAAGUUUAUUUCCUCCCAUUUAUAUCAUGUGCUUUUUCUUUAUCACUAGUAUAUAAAUAUUUCCCUCUAAAUCUCCCUUCUUUUGGCCCCAUUCACCAGAAUAACCUACUUGUGGACACUUGACUGUAAUAGAUUUAGGUAAAUUCUAACCAUAUAUGAUCUAUAAAACCUAGCAUAUUCACUGUUGUUAGUGUAAAAAAUGAGCUUAGCUCUUUGAUUUCUGAACCCAUUGACAAACCAUGCUGGUUUAAGGUAGGCUCACCCAGCAUUUGGAAUGCUAAAAUGUUAAUAUUUGUGAUACUUGAGUUUAUGUUAAUGAUAGGACAAAGCAAUUUUACUGUGUAUUUGUGUUUUUCGGAGAUCAGAUCAUUUAAAACUUAAGUUCAAUUUUAAAUUGCUAUUUUACUUCAAUUUACAUGUAACAUAAAUUUUUAAAACUCUUGCAAAUUAGUACUUCAUGUACAAUUAAGAGUAUGACAGGUAUACCUGUAAUUUAUGCUAAACAACUGAGAUAAGGAGUCAGAAGAUAAAAUUUAAAAAGAGAGGCACCUGGGUGGCUCAGUUGGUUGAAUCUCUGACUCUUGAUUUUGGCUCACAUCAUGAUCUCCCAGUUCAUGAGAUUGAGCCCUGCAUUGGGAUCCGUGCUUUGAGCACGGAUUGCUUGGGAUUCUCUCUCUCCUUCUCUUUCUGCCCCUCCCACUUCAAAAAAAAUCAUUAAAAAAGAGAGAGAGAGAUUUGUAAGCAUCUCCUUAAAGUAAGAAGUUAUUAAUGUCUUUUCAUUUGAAAUCACUAUUACAAAAAUAUGUUUUAAUUGGAAAAUUUAAACUGAAUUCUCAAUAUUAGAAUAAAGACACUCGAUAUUAGUCAUUUAUCCAUUUAUUAAUGUAAUAUGCAUUUAUUGAGUAGAACUGUAUGCUAGGCAUUGAAAAAUAAAAAUAAGAUAUUCUUUGGUCAAGGAGCUUAGAAUUUAGGGUAUAAGCAGUUAAAGAAUAGGAAGUUUGUCAGCUAAAGAUGGGAGAAGAUGGGGUGCCUGUGUGGCUCAGUUGAUGAAACAUCCAACUUUGGCUCAGGUCAAGAUCUCAUGGUUCAUGGGUUCAAGCCCCACUUUGAGCUCUGUGUUGACAGCUCAGAACCUGGAGCCUGUUUCCGAUUCUGUGUCUCCUUCCCUCUCUGCCUCUUCCUCUCUCUCUCUCUCUCAAAAAUAAAUAAACAUUAAGAAAACAAUUUGAAUAUGGGAGAAGGAUAUUCCAGGUAAUAGGCAUGGCUUAGAGAAAUAAAAGAUGUCAGAAUUUUUGGAAACUGUAAGUAAAUAUGUGAGAACAGGAACUAUGUCUAGUAACUCACUAUUGUAUCCCUAACACACAACAUUACAGCUGUUCAAUAAGUAUUUCCUGAAUUGAUUGAUUGAUAAAUACAAUAGCAGAUAAAGUUGUAAACCUCUUCUAAAUGGGUUUAUAGGCCAUUUUGUUUUAUAGCCCAACAUUCACUGAAAUGUAUUUUAUGGAACACUAACUAUGGAAAAAUAAGAGGUGUUAAAAGAUCAACCAAAAAAUCUCUAAGAAAUACUGAUUGCACAAAUCAAAACAAUUUUCUUUAAAGACUUCUCACACUUUAGUAUGCUAAUGUUAUGAUGACUAAGAGGCUUCAAUUAAACUCUGUUUCCCAAACUUCUGUACCUGGAACACACCUACCCAUGCAGUCAAACACUGUACCUAGGACUAUGCUUGGUACUGUGUGCAUUGAGAAAGUCUACUCUAGGCAACAGAGAUCCAUUAAGAGUUUUAGGUAGGAAAUUGAACUAUGGUCAUAGCUGUUUUUUGGAAAACUCCCUUUACAUGUUAGAGGAAUAGAAUGAAGGGGUGCCUGGGUGGCUCAGUUGGUUGAGUGUCUGACUUCAGCUCAGGUCAUGCUCUUGCGGUCCAUGAGUUUGAGCACCUCAUCGGGCUCUGUGCUGACAGCUCAGAGCCUGGAGCCUGCUUCCGAUUCUAUGUCUCCAUCUCUCUCUGCCCGUCCCACGCUCAUGCUCUGUCUCUCUCGCUCUGUCAAAAAUAAAUUAACAUUAAAAAAAUUUUUUUUUUAAAAAGGAAUAGAAUGAAGAUAAUUUAGUAACUAAAUUGAUGUGGAUGUGUUAGAGAAAGUACCUUGAAUGAUUUCCAAGUUUCCUUCUUGGUGGCUAAGAGGGGAUGCCAGUAAAAAAGGAUACAGUAUAUAGGAUGAAAAGUUUGGAAAGGAAAUAAUACAAUUGAACUUUAAACACAAUUGUCUUAAGUGGACAGCCUAGAGUAACUAUUUAGGCUACAGUUAGAUUUGUUUAUAUCUUAGAAGGGACCAGAGAUCAUAGUAAAAACUCUGGAAAUGGCUUUUCAAGAGCUCAGAAUGUUAUAUCCUUCCUCUCUCAUAGCCAUUUAGAUAUUUAGUAUCAGUUAUUAUGGCACAGCUUUCUCUUCUCCAGGCUAAAUAAACCUAGUUGCCUCAAACAUUCCUAGUGUGAAAUCCUAUCUGGACCAUUUUCCCCAUGCAGUUCCUUCCUUUGAAUGAACUAUAAAUCAUCAAUGUUUGCCAUAGGAUGUGGUGCCUCACUGAACUUUAUACUUCUAAAAUUUUAUAUGUUAUUACUUUAUUGUGUAUGUUUUCCUGUAUAUCCAUAACUUUUUCCUUCUUCAAACUUGCUCUAAGUCAUUUACUACUUACUCCUAUCCAAUUCUUAAGUAGCUAUGCCCUUUGAAUGAAAACCCCUCUCCAGUAAGCGGUCACCAUAUGAGAUCUAUCUGCCCUUGGAAUCCUUACUUUGUCUUGCUUAAGUGUUGAGCCUUCCUGUUGGAGCUUGAUGUUGUACUUGAUGUUUCAGACUAUUUCUUGUUUUCUAGCAGCCUCACUUAUUAAGACUGGCUUCAGCUUAUAUUCUGCUAGGUCUGCAGCAAAUAGCCCAUUUCAUGUACCCCUAUUUCUGACCUGAGUUUCUGCAUGUCCACCCAGGAUCUUCCACUUUGAAACAACCAAUUUCUAAGACUCAUCCAGAACAGAUUAGACAGUACUAUAUGCCAAUUUACUUGUCAGCAGGAGCCAUAUCUUAUUCUUUGUACUCCCAGUGUCUAGUACAACACUGGACACCAGUGAUAUUUAAUGGGUGAAUGGAUGGAUGGAUGGGUGGUUGAAAGAAGGAGCUCUGCUCUGACCAUAUUAUAAUGUAAAACAUUUUAUGUUUGUACAUAAAAUUUUUCUUGAAACAAGAGUGUUGAUACUGGGAAACCAGUGCUGUAUUAGGGAAAGUCCUGAUUAACUGAAUUAAUUUUCUUUCCUAAGAUUAAGGAAGGAGAGAUAACUACAAGAGUAUUUAGGCAUUCUUUUACAUUUUUUUUUUGAGGACCUACUACAUGAAAGCAUUGGAGUUGGCAUUUUUCACAUAAUUUUCACAUUACUCUGUGAAGUAGAUAUUAUUAUUCUUAUUUUACAGAUGAGAAAACUGAAGCUUAGCUUAAAUGGCUAAAGCUUAUGAAUGGCAAAGGUGAGAUUGAAUCCUAGGUCUUUUGACUCUGAUUUAGUUUUUCUUCACACUCUGAAGCAUGUUCUCAGUAUCUUUAAUAAGUUCUACAUCACAAAACUUAUUAUUUCUUUAUCUUUUUAUAUUUUUUAAUUUGAAAGGCAGACCAUGAAAGGCUGAAAAAUAUCUGAGAAUUUGCUUUAUAGGAACAUUGAUUAUAUUUUAGUAAUUGGAUGCUCUUAUUAUUUUCCUGGAGAAAAACUUUUAAGAUCAAGCCUGCUUUUGGUUCCUAUAGUGCUAUACUAAGAGGGUACAAUGCUAGAGUGACUCAGAAACAAUGAUCUGUUUAUUGCUAUCAUUUUGUAAUCUGGUGAAGAGACAAUGCUGAUGCAUACAGAUAUAAGAAGAUGCAUUUUGUUGAAAUACUUCAGAUUGUGGCUAGAAAAAGUGAAGAGUUAUUGGUUGAUGAGACCUGAGUAAAUAUAUUAUAUCACAAUUGUUAAAUAAUACUAUAUAAAGUUUCAUGGUAGAGUUGGUUCAAGUAAACUCUUGCCUGGCUAAAUUUGACUUUUUGUUUAGACACUGGAUUCUGUAAUAAUCACUACAAGUAAACAGUUAAGAUUUUCUUCUAAAUCUAGGAAGAAAGGGAAGAGUUACUAGUUCUCUAAUUUUUAGCUACAAUAGACUUAACAAUAAAAUUCUAUAAUUUAUUAUCAUUUAUUGGGUAUGCUAUGUCAGAUUCCUAAUUUAUUCUCCCAAGAAUCUUAUGGGGGGGGGAGUUUACAUUUUCCUGGAGAUAAAAUUGAGGCUCAAAGAGAUUAAAUAAUUUACCUGGGAUGUGAAGCUGGGAUUUGAACCAAGAUCUAACUGAAUAUACUCACCUUAUGUCCAUUCUAUGAACAUUAAUAAUGUUCUUUGAACAUGGACAUCUGUCUUUCCAAAAUUCUCCUCUUAAGAACUCUAAUGACUGUGUUACGGAAAAAAAUUUUUUCAGCUAAAGUCAUAAAGUAUAUGUUUUUAUCAAUUAAAUAUUUAAAGUUGUACCUCAUUACUGUAGGUCUCUAUGCAAUAUAUUUAUUACUGCUAUACAUUGGGCUUUGUGUGUGUGUGUAUGUGUGUGUGUGUGUGUGUGUGUGUGUGUGUGUGUGUGUAGAAAAACAAAGGUGGCUGAGAAGUGUCUUUACAUUACUCAGUGGGUUUUGCUGAAAUAAACCUUUUCAUAACUAGGACAAAUGUUCUUCCUGAGAUAUCCCUCGGUAUGUUUUCUGCAGGACUCCGUUUUCUGGGUGAUGUGUUCACUUUGAUGACUUUCUUUUUGGAUUUCUAUUGAGUUUUUCUUUUCUGAUUCCCAUGUGAUAUCUCUUAUUGGUUUAUAUCUCUUGACCUUUGAAAGAUCAAGUAGAUCAGGGUAGAAAUGGAAACAUUGAAGGGAUGGUUUAAGGGAGAAAUGGUAGGAUGAAAAGAAGGCUUUCUCUUGUCCUCCUAUGGCCAUGGGAGGAUAUAAUGAGACUGAGUCUGGUUUCACCUCUCAGAUACAUGACUAUUAUUUGCAGAUGGGAGUUAUGAUGUAUAUCAGGAACUAAAUUUAGGGAUCCAGGUUCAUUGAGGGAUGUCAAGAUUUAAAACAUUUUCUUAUAGGUGUUAUCUUAUGUGAACAGAAAAAGAUUUCCUGAUUUGGGAGAUUAUCUUGAUUAGGGCCUUGACUAGUGGGAUAUAUGACACUGGUAGGAAAGGAGAUUAUUUUUUGGAGCUCAUUCAUGAGCCUUAUAAGAUCACCUGGAGAACCACAACCCAUUUGGAGCAAUCUGACCUUGGCAGGUAUGGGGAGUCAUUUCUCCAUUUCUUCUUUCAGGGAAGGUCUGCUCAAAGAGCUUCAAAGAACAUUGGCUAGAGGCAAAGUGUCUAGCACAGGGAAGGCAUCUUGGUGGGUGUUUCUAGGGAGUAGGAAUGUAUUGCUUUAGGCAGAGCCUAACAGUUCUCUUUGUUUGAAUUGGAAUUGCAAUUAUUGGUACAUGGGAUGGCUUUAGCUCUAUUUCUAAGUAAAUAGAUUUACUUUAUCUGUUUACCUGUCUCUCCAUCUGUCUGUCCGUCUGUCAUCUACCAUUUUCCAUCCUUUGUCAAUUAAUCAAUCUUGUUUCUAUGCCAGGAUGGACAGAAUAGAAAAUGAUGUUUAUGAUUAUAUAUGUCAGGGAAAUUAGAAUGUGAGUUUAAUCAUAAAUAAGGGAGUGGUAAAAAUCUAGCAGAAAUAAGAAAUAGAGAAGUAUAGGGGUUCAUAUAUCAGGCACAUAUUCUCUUGGGCUGAGUGGAGAAAAAAAUUAGCAGAUUUAUUGCAAACCCAAAGUUGAAGCAAGAAAUUUUAAAAAGUUUUACCUAGGACACUUUGGAUCUCAGAGCUGUUUGGUUCCAGACAAAAUGAAAACACAGUCAGUAAAUAAAAGAUGCAACAUUGGUAUGAGAAUAAAAGCUGCUUAAGCUUUGGAGGGAGAGUAUCAAAAACCCAGAAUGGAAGUGCAUUCACUUAGACUAGUUUUUAAUUUUGCAAUAGAAUGAGAGACUUUGAGAGAAUUAAAAAAGGAAGGAAGAUACUCAAAUGAAAUCAAUAAUGCUAAUUCUUAUAUGUUUCUUAGUUUUGUUUCUUUUUGGGAACUGCCUCACCAUUAGAUCAUAUCCAUACCUUCUCUGUGGUGAGGCUGGGGAUGGCAGAGAGAGUUGGAGGGCGGGUGGAGGAGAUCUAGGUUUUGUCAGUAGAUCAUCUUCUCCUCUGCAGUUACUGUGAUUGGCCCAUGGUUGGACACCUGCCUUAGACAAAGGCAACUGGUAUUCUUCUCUGAUAGACAUACUGAGCAAAAGUCCCUCUACUUUUAAAAACAUAGGGGCUAAGGACCAUAUUUGUUGACACAUGGAAAGAGUUUACCUUAGUACAGGCCAAUAUAGGAGAAACAAUAACUGAAAAAUGAUGAUAGAGAUAGGGAAAAGAGGCAGGCAGGGAGAGAGAGAGAAGGGGAGGAAAGAGAAAGGUGAGGGGAGAGAUAAGCAUGAAUUGAUAACAUCUUUUUUUUCCAUUUUUUUAAUGUUUAUUU